rnacentral:lncRNA from 1 species
UUGACUCUCUAAGAUUCUUGGAAUGUUUUAUAAUUUGGAAUGGAGGAAGAUUAACAUGUUAGAGAAGUGAUAAAUUGAUAAUAUUAUUCAGAGACGGAAUACAUGCAUGCAAUUCUUAAUUCUUAUUUUUUUUUCUUUUUUGAGUUCACUUUGGCACUCAUGGCCUGUCAUUAACAAACAUACACUACCGGAUAGCAGGGGUUUGUCGUGUGCCUGGCGCACACGACAAAGCCCAGAUUACACACGGCGAAGGCUUUGCCGUGUGUUGCUCACGGCAAAGAACACACGGCAAACUCGUUCACGGUGAACUCUAUUUUUACUCACGGCCAAAUUAUGGGCACACGGCGAAACUUUGCCGUGAGUCAAUCUUGACACACGGCAAAGAAAAGAUAACGAACGGCGGGAGACGGCCUAACGGCAGGGUUUGCCGUGUGUCACCAUGUAGACAUGUGCUAGGGUUGGGCACACGGCAAACCCCAACGAAAAAAAUCUAAAGAUUUCUUUGCUCUUAGCCACUGCACCACACUAUGACUUGUGUUUAUAUUGUAUUUCGGUUGCUCAAAUAUUAUAUCAAAUUAUGUGUAAAUUGAUAAUUUGAGGUCCUAAAUGAUUUCAAAUCAAAAAGUUGUCAACUACAAAGUUUCAUAACUUUUUGGGAUAUACAAUUUUCAUUUAGGGAGUUUCUCCAUCCGAGGUCGUUUACAAAAUUUGAAUUUCAAAUUUGAGAAAUUCAAACGUAGUUUUUGCAUGACAAGAUGAUUCCAAAAUAAAAAGUUGUCAACUACAAAGUUUCAUAACUUUUUGAGAUCUACAAAGUUUACUAGAGUUUUUCCAUCCGAGGUUAUUUUUA